UCCUCGUUAGUAUAGUGGUAAGUAUCCCUGCUUGUCACACGGGAGACCAGGGUUUAAUCCCCAAUGGGGAG